UACGUAGGGGGCAAGCGUUAUCCGGAAUCACUGGGUGUAAAGGGAGCGUAGACGGCUGAGCAAGCCUGAAGUGAAAGGCGGGGGCCCAACCCCUGGACUGCUUUGGGAACUGUACGGCUGGAGUGCAGGAGAGGGAAGUGGAAUUCCAUGUGUAGCGGUGAAAUGCGUAGAGAUAUGGAGGAACACCAGUGGCGAAGGCGGCUUCCUGGUCUGCAACUGACACUGAGGCGCGAAAGCGUGGGGAGCAAACAGG
rnacentral:rRNA from 1 species